GUCCACGCCGUAAACGUUGGGCACUAGGUGUGGGGCUCUAUCAACGGGCUCCGUGCCGUAGCUAACGCAUUAAGUGCCCCGCCUGGGGAGUACGGCCGCAAGGCUAAAACUCAAAGGAAUUGACGGGGGCCCGCACAAGCGGCGGAGCAUGUGGCUUAAUUCGAUGCAACGCGAAGAACCUUACCUGGGUUGAACUAUGCAGGAAAAGCCAUAGAGAUAUGGUGUCCUUCGGGGCCGUGCGAUAGGUGGUGCAUGGCUGUCGU
rnacentral:rRNA from 1 species